UACGUAGGGUGCGAGCGUUGUCCGGAAUUAUUGGGCGUAAAGGGCUCGUAGGCGGUUUGUCGCGUCGGGAGUGAAAACCUUGGGCUUAACUCAGGGCUUGCUUUCGAUACGGGCAGACUAGAGGUAUGCAGGGGAGAACGGAAUUCCUGGUGUAGCGGUGAAAUGCGCAGAUAUCAGGAGGAACACCGGUGGCAAAGGCGGUUCUCUGGGCAUGAUCUGACGCUGAGGAGCGAAAGUGUGGGGAGCGAACAGG
rnacentral:rRNA from 1 species